UACGAAGGGGGCUAGCGUUACUCGGAAUCACUGGGCGUAAAGCGCACGUAGGCGGACUCUUAAGUCAGGGGUGAAAUCCUGGAGCUCAACUCCAGAACUGCCUUUGAUACUGGGAGUCUUGAGUUCGGGAGAGGUGAGUGGAACUGCGAGUGUAGAGGUGAAAUUCGUAGAUAUUCGCAAGAACACCAGUGGCGAAGGCGGCUCACUGGCCCGAUACUGACGCUGAGGUGCGAAAGCGUGGGGAGCAAACAGG
rnacentral:rRNA from 1 species